rnacentral:rRNA from 1 species
UGGGGAAUCUUAGACAAUGGGGGAAACCCUGAUCUAGCCAUGCCGCGUGGACGAUGAAGGCCUUAGGGUUGUAAAGUCCUUUCAGCUGGGAAGAUAAUGACGGUACCAGCAGAAGAAGCCCCGGCUAACUCCGUGCCAGCAGCCGCGGUAAUACGGAGGGGGCUAGCGUUGUUCGGAAUUACUGGGCGUAAAGCGCACGUAGGCGGAUUGGAAAGUUAGAGGUGAAAUCCCAGGGCUCAACCUUGGAACUGCCUCUGAUACUGGCGGUCUUGAGUUCGAGAGAGGUGAGUGGAAUUCCGAGUGUAGAGGUGAAAUUCGUAGAUAUUCGGAGGAACACCAGUGGCGAAGGCGGCUCACUGGCUCGAUACUGACGCUGAGGUGCGAAAGUGUGGGGAGCAA